GAUGAACGCUGACAGAAUGCUUAACACAUGCAAGUCGAUGGGGAAGUGGUGCUUGCCCCAUGGCAACCAUGGUGGACGGGUGAGUAACGCGUAAGGGACUUACCUGCAGGACUGGGAUAACAGGGGGAAACUCCUGACAAGACCGGAUAAUGUCAUGGAGCUGCAUGGCUUUAUGAUGAAAGGAGACGCCUGCGGAGAGCCUUGCGUCCUAUUAGCUAGUUGGUGAGGUAAUGGCUCACCAAGGCGAAGAUAGGUAGCCGGCCUGAGAGGGUGGACGGCCACAAGGGGACUGAGAUACGGCCCUUACUCCUACGGGAGGCAGCAGUGGGGAAUAUUGGACAAUGGGGGCAACCCUGAUCCAGCAAUUCUGUGUGCACGAAGAAGGUUUUCGGAGUGUAAAGUGCUUUCAGCAGGGAAGAAGUAAGUGACGGUACCUGCAGAAGAAGCGACGGCUAAAUACGUG
rnacentral:rRNA from 1 species